rnacentral:rRNA from 1 species
GACGAACGCUGGCGGCGUGCUUAACACAUGCAAGUCGAACGGAAAGGCCCUGCUUUUGUGGGGUGCUCGAGUGGCGAACGGGUGAGUAACACGUGAGUAACCUGCCCUUGACUUUGGGAUAACUUCAGGAAACUGGGGCUAAUACCGGAUAGGAGCUCCUGCUGCAUGGUGGGGGUUGGAAAGUUUCGGCGGUUGGGGAUGGACUCGCGGCUUAUCAGCUUGUUGGUGGGGUAGUGGCUUACCAAGGCUUUGACGGGUAGCCGGCCUGAGAGGGUGACCGGCCACAUUGGGACUGAGAUACGGCCCAGACUCCUCCGGGGGGCAGCAGUGGGGAAUAUUGCAAAAGGGGCGGAAGCCUGAUGCAGCAACGCCGCGGGCGGGAUGACGGCCUUCGGGUUGGAAACCGCUUUCGCCUGUGACGAAGCGGGAGUGGCGGUAAUGGGUAAAGGAGCCGCGGCUAACUACGU